UGGGAGCAGGAAACCCAAAAGAGCCGGCCCUGGAACCAGGUGGAGGGGAGGCAGCCCGGCCAUGACCCAGAGCAGGACACCUGCUCCACUUCACCUUUUGCCAUGAGUAAAAGCUCCCUGAGGCCUCCCAAGAAGUUGAUGCCCUGUGCUUCCUGUACAGCUGCGGAACCGGAUGGCUUUCCGUGGCUUUGCUACAGCCACUCCUGGAAGUGCUGCCUGACUGAAUCCUCAGGGCACCCCGGCAGGAUGGACGUGGUGUACCCCCUACUUUACAGAUGGGGAAACUGAGGCUUGAGAGCUAAAGCAGCCCACCCAGCUCCCAGAGAUGAGGAGGCCGACUCUGGCAGGAGUCACUGUCGGUGCAUGGGCAUUUCUUCCUGUUACAGCCUGCGGCCCCUUCCAGGCCGGGAGGCCUUCUGCGCAGGUGCCCUGACGUGAUGGUAUGACCCAUUCUGGGAGGCCGAGAGCACCUCAAAGAACUCAGCAGGAAGCACAGUUUCAAUUCAGAAGUUCUGGAAGGCGAGGCAGGACAGGGCACCCUCCCUGCAUGGCCCGAUGACCUGCACUCCUGUUUCAUCUCCCCGUGUGGCACCUGGGGCAGCUUGGAGCCUACCAAGGUCUCAACAAGGAACCAGUAAAUACCAAAAAAAGGACAUCACGUCCCCUACAGCUAACUGCAAAUGGUGACCAUCCCAGCCCUUGUUUGAUAACACAAGCAAAGCAAUGGCUUCUUCAAGGACACCGAGAGGAACCUCACCUCUUUCUAAAACCUCCAACACAGGGCCAGGCGCGGUGGCUCAUGCGUGUAAUCCCAGCACUUUGGGAGGCCGAGGCAGGUGGAUCACGAGGUCAGGAGAUCGAGACCAUCCUGGCUAACACGGUGAAACCCCGUCUCUACUAAAAAUAAAAAAAAUUAGCCGGG
rnacentral:lncRNA from 10 species